GCGCCUCCAGCCGAGGGAACCCCGCGGGCUCGACGUGCGCAGCCCAGCGGCCCCCUCCUGAGUUCCCGCCCGGGCGCCGCGCACCUGCCCGGGCGCGCGCCAGAGGGAGCCCCUGGCCGCCCGGCGCCGGGGGAGCGGCGGCCCGCGCCGCCUUGCGUUGGUGAGAAAGUUCCAUCUAGAGGCGGCCGCGCGCCACUGCAGCCCACACCCCAGGCCGCCAGGUGAGCCGGGAGCGAGCGGCCGGCGGCGGGGGACGCGGCGGACCGGGGCACAGCCGCCCGCCCCAGGGAGAAGGGGGCAGAGCCCCGCAACGAGCUCCUCCUCCCGCGUUCGGCAGCUCCGCCAGGAAUUUCAACUUUCUAAGCAGAAUGAACGUCGUGAGCAUCAGCACAGUAGAAACUAUAGAAAGUAAACCAAUACUUGACAACAUUUGCUUGGCUGGAAGAAAUAUGCAGAAUAUACACUCAUUUUCAAAUGGAAGUUCACCUGAGGCUGGUGUGAAGGCUGUAAGGCCAGGGAAUGUGGCUCAGCUGUGCGGUCGGUGGUUGCUUGGGCAGGAACAAAGUAGAGAAAACAGAAACCGAGGAAGCAGGAUCACACUUGUCACAGACCAAGGCUGCAAGCCGAGCAGUGCUGGCGCUGGGCACUCCAGCAGAGGUGCCAUAGAGAGGUGAUUAUAUCACAUCAUCCUCACCUCGAGAAAGACACUUCUGGCAAUGUGGUUUCUGAGAAGCAGGAAGGAAUCCAGGGUCACAAGUUGCCUGCUGCCUGUUCUCCCCUGUGUGUACAUUUGAUGUGCUCCUUAGCGAGCCUCAGAAGCUAUAACAAGCUCCAUCUGUUUCUGUUCGUGGCUGUUCCUCCACGCGUCUCACAUGCUCACACCUGUGCUCAGAAAGCGCCUGCUUCUCGUGGCCGUGUCUCCCAUACAGGGCUGUCUCCCAGAAGCCAGGGAUCGUCUCAAGCCUGACAGGUGUAAACAGAACUUGAACAGAGAUGGGAUCAUUGUGGUGGCUCUCCAUCCUUGGUCCAAGUCUCUCUCUGUCUCUCUCUCUCUGAAUGAACUCUUGUGAGACACAGCACAGAGGACCCCCUCCUGCCAUCCUGUGUCUCUCUCAGUCCUUUCCUCCUGGCUUUGUUAGCUCAGCCAGUACAAAGAACCAUGAUGUUUUUUUUCUUUAUCUCCCCUCAACCAAGUGGUCCUCUAGCUUUCAUCACCAAGAAAUUGUUCUCCUUUAUCCAGCAAGAAAUUCAGCAUGAACAGAUUCAAAUCUCCAGCUUUGAAUUCCAAAUAAGAGCUUUGAAAGCUUUGACUUUUCAUUUUAAAAGUCAGGCGUUUCUGAGAAAGAAUGUUUAGAGGGAAGGGGUUGAUGGGGGUGGAUUUCAAGAUCUUGGCCUGAAUACUAAGAGCUAGGCUGAGAGACUCUAGGUGUAACAUUGAGCCAGAGAAUGGGAAAGGAUGUGUGUUGAUUUAAGAGCCAAUUUGCCACCACACAAAGGGGAGAUUAGAAGCUGGGAAAAGGAGCUUGGAAAGAGGAGGAGGGUUUCCAUAUUGGCCCGGGCACUGGUACCACCAUUUGUCCCAGGUGGUGUCUUUGUGUGCAUUAGAAAAAAAAAAAAGUGCUCAUUCCUCAAGACUUAUGACUUUUAUUUUCCAGAAAAUUGUCAUAAUCAAUG
rnacentral:lncRNA from 12 species